rnacentral:lncRNA from 1 species
GUUCUUGAGCGUGCGCCGGCGCUGCUUCAGCUGGACGAUCUCCUCCUUGGACAGGCCCCGCAGGUGCUGGUUCAGCUCCCGCACCGACAUGGUCACCAGCUCCUCAUCCGUCAGGCUGGUGCCAUUCUCACCCGGCUCCCGCUUCACCUGGGGCACAGUGCAGGUGGUCACAGGCCAAGCGGGCACGCCCACUGUGCCCCCCGACCCCAGCCCACAGGCUCCUGUCCCUGCCCACUCACCUUCAAGGCCUUGUUUCCUUUAUUGGGGGUCGUCAUAACCCGGGGGCACAGCGAGCAGGCGCUCUCUGCAAGACACGGAGCAGGUUUGAUGCAGACAGAUGGGAGACUCCUCCAGAGGAGCUAGGAUCACUUCAGGAAAUUAUGGGCUGGGGGGCUUCUUACUCUCAUCAGGGGAGCUGAAGUGUGGCCAGGCGGAUGCACACAUCCUCACCAGGCUCAAGACUCCACCUCACCCAGCCUGGGACCAGGAGGUGAGGCUGCAAGCACAGAGCAGGGAGGGGAGGCCAGAGACCCCUCCCCACAGCCAAGCCAGCUCAGAGGCAAGGUCCCGAGGCUCCAGCCACUGGAUUCUUCCAGAUAAAGGAUGGGGAAGACCUGAGCUGGAGGUCAGAAGGCCCACAGGAGCCCUUUCCUACACGUCCGGCACAACACUGCC